rnacentral:rRNA from 1 species
CUCGUAGGCGGUUCGUCGCGUCCGGUGUGAAAGUCCAUCGCUUAACGGUGGAUCCGCGCCGGGUACGGGCGGGCUUGAGUGCGGUAGGGGAGACUGGAAUUCCCGGUGUAACGGUGGAAUGUGUAGAUAUCGGGAAGAACACCAAUGGCGAAGGCAGGUCUCUGGGCCGUUACUGACGCUGAGGAGCGAAAACGUGGGGAGCGAACA